AGAAGACAGCACUACUCGUUCAUUCUUUCCUUUGUUCACCCAUUAUUCAUUCGUCACUUCCCGCAUCACUUAAGUACCAAGUGUUAUACAAGCUGACUUAGACAGCCACCAAGGACUGAAGAAAACAGAUGGAGUAUUCCAGGGGGCCGAAGAGAGUCAGAGGAAAUCGAAACACAGGAAGUUGUCAGUGCUAGGGAUUAACCCAGGAUCUCCACUAUGCUAGCUCCUGAAAAAUGGACCCUCAUCUAACUAAAAAGGAGAACAAUCAAGAUGUCACCAGGACAUUAUCCCAAAAUCCCAGCCUCCAGAG